rnacentral:tRNA from 1 species
GGAAUUGUGGCUUAGUGGUAGAGCGUGCGCAUAGCGCGUGCAAGGCCCUAGGUUCAAUCCUCAGCACCA